rnacentral:rRNA from 1 species
AUUGAACGCUGGCGGCAGGCCUAACACAUGCAAGUCGAACGAGUGGCGGACGGGUGAGUAAUGUCUGGGAAACUGCCUGAUGGAGGGGGAUAACUACUGGAAACGGUAGCUAAUACCGCAUACCCUCGGAUGUGCCCAGAUGGGAGUAGCUAGUAGGUGGGGUAACGGAUCACCUAGGCGACGAUCCCUAGCUGGUCUGAGAGGAUGACCAGCCACACUGGAACGGAGACACGGUCCAGACUCCUACGGGAGGCAGCAGUGGGGAAUAUGGCACAAGGGGCGCAAGCCUGAUGCAGCCAUGCCGCGUGUAUGAAGAAGGCCUUCGGGGUGUAAAGUACUUUCAGCGGGGAGGCGUUACCCGCAGAAGAAGCACCGGCUAACUCCGUGCCAGCAGCCGCGGUAAUAC